GUUGCAUCCGCUUCAAGUGCUUUUUGCUGAUUCACAAACUCCUCCAUUUUGCAUGUAUCAGAGGCAGAAGUUGUCGCUAGCAUUUCAGGCGCCACUGAUGUUAAUAUUGAGUUGUCCACAAGAGGUUCCUUACUGUCAGAUUUUGGAGUUGGGCUAGGACAUUCACGCUGAAUGUCUUGAUUAUCAGAAGAUACAGGAACACUGUGAGAAUGAGGAUGGUGAUUAAGUGGAGCAUUUGAUGCAUCUGCUUCAAGCGUUUUUUGCUGAUUCACUGACUCCAUUUUGCAUGAAUCAGAGGCUGCAGAGGUUGUUGUUAGAAUUUCAGGUGCUGCUGAUGUUAACACUGAGUUGUCCACAACAAGUUCCUUAGUGUCAGAUCUUGGAGUUGAACCUGGACAUUCACGCUCAAUAUCAUGAUUGUCAGAAGGUACUGGGAAAAUGUGAGAAUGAGACUGAUUAAGUGGAGAAUUUGAUGCAUCUGCUUCAAGUGUUUUUUGCUGAUUCACAAACUCCUCCAUUUUGCUUGUAUCAGAGGCUGAUGCAGAAGUUGUUGCUGAGUUGUUCACAAGAGGUUCCUUAAUGUCAGAAUUUGGAGUUGGACAUGGACAUUCACGCUUUAUAUCUUGAUUGUCAGAAGGUACCGGGAAAAUGUGAGAGUGAGACUGACAAAGUGGAGCAUUUGAUGCAUCCGCUUCAAGUGUUUUUGGCU
rnacentral:lncRNA from 1 species